CGCUGGCGGCGUGCUUAACACAUGCAAGUCGAGCGGAAAGGCCCUUCGGGGUACUCGAGCGGCGAACGGGUGAGUAACACGUGAGCAACCUGCCCUAGGCUUUGGGAUAACCCUCGGAAACGGGGGCUAAUACCGAAUAUUCACUUGCGGGCGCAUGUUUGUGGGUGGAAAGUUUUUCGGCUUGGGAUGGGCUCGCGGCCUAUCAGCUUGUUGGUGGGGUAAUGGCCUACCAAGGCGACGACGGGUAGCCGGCCUGAGAGGGCGACCGGCCACACUGGGACUGAGACACGGCCCAGACUCCUACGGGAGGCAGCAGUGGGGAAUAUUGCACAAUGGGCGGAAGCCUGAUGCAGCGACGCCGCGUGAGGGAUGACGGCCUUCGGGUUGUAAACCUCUUUCAGCAGGGACGAAGCGCAAGUGACGGUACCUGCAGAAGAAGCGCCGGCCAACUACGUGCCAGCAGCCGCGGUAAGACGUAGGGCGCGAGCGUUGUCCGGAUUUAUUGGGCGUAAAGAGCUCGUAGGCGGCUUGUCGCGUCGACUGUGAAAACCCGUGGCUCAACUGCGGGCCUGCAGUCGAUACGGGCAGGCUAGAGUUCGGUAGGGGAGACUGGAAUUCCUGGUGUAGCGGUGAAAUGCGCAGAUAUCAGGAGGAACACCGGUGGCGAAGGCGGGUCUCUGGGCCGAUACUGACGCUGAGGAGCGAAAGCGUGGGGAGCGAACAGGAUUAGAUACCCUGGUAGUCCACGCUGUAAACGUUGGGCGCUAGGUGUGGGGGGCCUCUCCGGUUCUCUGUGCCGCAGCUAACGCAUUAAGCGCCCCGCC
rnacentral:rRNA from 1 species